UCAGGUAGGGAUACCCGCUGAACUUAAGCAUAUCAA
rnacentral:rRNA from 2 species